rnacentral:tRNA from 1 species
UAAAAGGUGGCCGAGUUUAUAAGCGUUAGAUUGUAAAUCUAAAAACGAGAUCUUCUCCCUUUUAA